rnacentral:rRNA from 1 species
CCUACGGGUGGCAGCAGUGGGGAAUAUUGCACAAUGGGCGAAAGCCUGAUGCAGCGACGCCGCGUGAAGGAAGACGGUUUUCGGAUUGUAAACUUCUGUUCUUAGUGAAGAAUAAUGACGGACACUAAGGAGCAAGCCACGGCUAACUACGUGCCAGCAGCCGCGGUAAUACGUAGGUGGCAAGCGUUGUCCGGAAUUACUGGGUGUAAAGGGAGCGUAGGCGGGAAGCAAAGUCAGCUGUGAAGACUACGGGCUUAACCUGUAGACUGCAGUUGAAACUGGCUGUCUUGAGUGAAGUAGAGGUAGGCGGAAUGCCGAGUGUAGCGGUGAAAUGCGUAGAUAUUCGGAGGAACACCGGUGGCGAAGGCGGCCAACUGGGCUUUAACUGACGCUGAGGCUCGAAAGUGUGGGGAGCAAACAGGAUUAGAUACCCCUGUAGUC